UGACGUUGUGGCUGAAAUCACUGUUGCAGACCCUUUUUUAUAACCUUGAGGGUAUAAGAGUCAUCAUAAUUUUAGAAAAUGGCCUGCUACUAUGAUUUCAGCAGCAAUGUCAA
rnacentral:pre_miRNA from 1 species